ensembl:lncRNA
GUCUUAAUGAGUCUGUGUAGAUAUGUUGAUAGGAUAGUAAUGAUUAAUUAUAAAUAGACCAGACCUCAGAAUGAGACCAGGUGCCAGAUCUGGGAAGGCCGUUGGGGAAUCUGUGACCAAGAGGAUGGACGUGGUGGACAGGAUACUGGACACGCUGGCUUCGAGGAUCACUGCAAUGGAAGCGGAGGUCCGCAACAUGGUGGCUUCCUGCUGGCAUGAUCUGGAACCUGAACUUUCUGCCAAAAUAAGGCCCUACAUGAGACUGAGGCACACACGACAGGAGAAACUUACAGGACUCCAGGCUGCAUUCUUCAAUCUCCAAAUGGACAGGCUGAACAUUACUGACACCAAGAGCCUCGCAGACAAGGCAGAAGUCAUAAAAGGAGCUGGUGAGAGACACAGAGUCUGGUGUCCUGGCUGGAGCCCUCGGGGGACCAAGGAUCUUCAGGCGUACAUCGGAGAGAGAAUCAAGACCACUUUGAAGAGAAGGAAACGAAUUGCGCAGGUUGUGGAUCAGGAAAAAAAAAAAUUAAACCAAAGUUUCUAGUGUUCGAGCGUCAAAAACGUAACACCCUGACGCUUUAGUACACUCCAUUUUGCACACUAGUUAAUUGUUCGUUGUUCUUAAAAUGCAUAUAUUUUGACUAAAGUUUUUAUACAUGAGUAAUUACUCCAUUUUGCAGACUAGUUAAUUGUUCAUUGUUCUUAAAAUGCAUAUAUUUUGACUGAAGUAUUUAUACAUGAGUAAUAUACUCAAUUUUGCACACUAGUUAAUUGUUUGUCAUUAUUGUUGACGUUAAGCUUUGUAUUUUAAUAAACAUAUGCUCAAGAAGUUUGCUUUUGUCAUUAGUCAUUAUUUUACCCUGUUUGAUUUUAAGAAUUUAUUUCUGAGACAAGAUAGGGAUGAAAUGGGAUCAAAGUUGGAUGUGUAAACAGUGUGAAUACUUUGAAUGUUUUUGUUCUUUGUGUGUUUAAACAUUGCUACAAUCUACAAUCCCAAUAUAGAUUCAUCUCUGUCUGUAUUGUGGUAGCAUAAUGGUCCUGCACAAAGCAGCACAACUACAUCCAGCACCACGGAGAGCGCCAUACAUCACAGCCAGUGAUGAUCAGGACCAGGGAUAGCUCCUCUUACACAGGUGUGCACGUUUCUCCUCUGACAGUGAGCCUCAGCUUCCGGCCUUUUAAGUCAAAUUAGCAGCCACAUAAAGGUUCCAGAAAUCAUACAGGAUCAUUUAGUUAUGGGGGUGCAAAUUUGACCUUUGACAUCUGAACACAUACACUUGGUCUGGCUGCUUUCAAAGGCCAAGGGUGCGUCUCAAUCAGCCCCAUGGUUCAGUAGUCAGGACACUGAUCAGGGAGUCAGCUCAUUGACUGAAGGUAUGUUGUGUGACUUUAAAAAGACCUCAACGUUUUCAAAAUGAUGCGGUGUAGCCAUAGCUCAGAGUUCAUCUAGGUUUUUGUUUUUUGAUUUAGUCAUAUCAAAAAUACCUAUGAAUGAACUAAUGUAAUCACAUGAGUUUUACUGGUUUAUUGGAAAGAUGAUAGAUAGAUAGAUAGAUAGAUAGAUGAUAGGUGAUAGGUGUGUGUGUGUGUGUGUGUGUGUGUGUGUGUGUGUGUGUGUGUGGUGUGAGUUUGUGUGUGAGUGAGUGUGUGUGUGAGUGUGUGUGUGUGUGUGUUAAUUGUUUGUUUACACACUGUUUUGUUCUUUCUUUUUGAAGAGUGAUAACUUUGAUAAAUUGACAUGGACUGCCGUCUUGUGUACAAUCACUGGUAAUGCACUUUGCACCCAUUCUACAUGUUGUUUUCUAAAAUUCUAAUUUGCGGAUGUGUAUGGCUAUGUAAAAAAAAUAGAUGAUAGAUAGAUAGAUGGAUGGAUGGAUGGAUGGAUGAAUGGAUAGAUAGAUAGAUAGAUAGAUAGAUAGAUAGAUAGAUAGAUAGAUAGAUAGAUAGAUAGAUAGAUAGAUAGAUGCAACAUUUAUUGUUACAUUUUCAUAUGCUAAAGCCCAAAGUUUGAAAUGACCUGUAAAAAUAGAUUUUUUUUUUAUUUUAAGGUUCUGAAAUCACUCAAACACUGAAAGGUCACAAGGUCAAGCUGUCUGUCAUAGACUGUAGAACUAAUCAGAUGAUGAAACUACAAAUGUUAGUAUGUAUAAUUUCAUAUAACACUGAUUCUUGAAACUUUGGCAAAAACAUGUCCCACUAAGAAAAGUGCUAAUUCUGUUGGAAAUUAAUAAAAUUUUCAUGCAUAAAAAGAAUCAAGGUUAUAAUCAGGGGCUCCUUUGCAAAUAUGUAAGGUUUUUUUAUAGGUUUAAUUUUUUAUUUUUUUAUUUAAUGAUUAUAUGCUGGCCCACUGCCUACAAAAUCAGUUGUCCUCGGAUAGGAGGUAAUCAUUUCAACUUGAUUAAAAAAACAAAAAGUUAUAAUUGAAUUGAAUAAUAUCUUUACCACAUGAAAGAGUACAUUGUAAUAUGUAUUAAAAACUACAAACAGUGAGUUUUGAACAAUAUUUACUAUUAUUUUGUGGUUGCUCAAAUUGUGUCCCACAUAUUCGUCACCACCGUCAGAUAUUUAUAAAAAGCAAUAAAAUCAGGCAACUACAAGGUCGACUACAUUCCUGAGGACCCCAUUUUCAAACCUUCAGCUCUACUGCAUGCAUCAAGAUCAAUCAAGCUCCUGUAAGUUCGCUAUUUUCUCUUAAACUUGUUCAUAUUUUUGGACACUGCUACUGUCACAACCAUAAUAUGUCAACACCGUCUAUUUUGUAUAAAAAAAUAUUAGAUUAGAUUAUGACAUAAAUGUAUACUUUUUAAGAAGAGGUCUGAAAUAGCUAGCAUCAGAGGGGAAACAAGAUGGCUAAUGUGAACAACUCAUGCAUAUCAUGUGAAAGAGUAGGUUUUUGUCACCACCGUCAGACGUCACCACCGUCAGGUUUUCUGUCUGACGGUGGUGACUUACAGUCUGACGGUGGUGACAAAAACCUCCAAAUGGUCCUCAACGGAGGCUAGAAUAUAAUUGUUGAUCACAAUAAAUACCAAUAUGACCU